rnacentral:rRNA from 1 species
CAUUCACAAACGAGUGUUUUAUGGCACUCUUUAAAAAUCCAUAUCCACCUUGUGUGCAAUGUUUGUUGGGAAAGUCUUUUCUUUCCCUUCAUAAAUAUCAACCUAUAUCUUUAACAACAUUCGUCUGAUAACAUAUUAUGAAUAUACUUAAUUCAAAAUAUAACUUUCAACAACGGAUCUCUUGGCUCUCGCAUCGAUGAAGAACGCAGCGAAAUGCGAUACGUAAUGUGAAUUGCAGAAUUCAGUGAAUCAUCGAAUCUUUGAACGCAUAUUGCGCUCUUUGGUAUUCCGAAGAGCAUGCUUGUUUGAGUAUCAGUAAACACCUCAACCUCUCUUUUUUGAUAAAAAAAAGGGAGGGUGGACUUGAGCUAUCCCAACGACCUUCACCGGUAGGCGGGCGGCUUGAAAUGCAGGUGCAGCUGGACUUUUAUCUGAGCUAAAAGCAUAUCUAUUUAGUCCUCGUCAAACAGGAUUAUUACUUUUGCUGCAGCUAACAUAAAGGAUAAUUGUCCUCUUUGCUGACUGAUGCAGAAUUUUACGACACUUUAUGUGUUGUUCAACUCGAUCUCAAAUCAAGUAAGACUACCC